CAAAAUAGAAAAAAUACAGUACAAGAUAACCGCGGGAUGUCAGUUCGCGACGAGGAAAGAUGGGAUUAUUAACGGCUCAGAGCUGAGCGGAUCGUGAUUGAGGUGGGGCUUAGCUGCAUCUUUCUGAUACCCGGCCCGACGAGGAUCGCCCUCGAUCUCGAUGUGGGAGGGAACCAGGCGCCGGUUCCGGCCGGUGCCCGAGCAGCAGAGGAUGCAGACGCCGAUGCCGAUGGACCGGUCGCGGGUCGACGGCUUCACAAAAAGACGACACAUUCCCUCGUUCCCGCUGGAAAGCAAUGAGAAUGGAGAGGGCGGCGAGUCGAAAAACGGAUCCCCCGUGAAAGAUUUGGCUCAGAUCUCCGGGGCCCAGACGCAGCAAUUGCUGUCGCAGCAGAUCUCAACCAGUUCGACGACGACGACAAGUUCGAGUUCGCGCGUGGCCAAAUCAUCGCAGAAGAUUAUGAGCGCUUCGACGCUCAAGGCGAACCUUUCCGAGCUGAAGUCGAGCAUCUCGGAGAUGAAGAGCCUCAGCAGCUUCAACUCGAUGAAGAGCUCCGUCGAAGACUUGGUCGAGGAGUGCGAGUCGGACGUGUGCACAAGCCCGUGCGACGGCGAGCCCCUCGUCACAUUCCCGGACCAGGAAUCGCCCCCGGAGUCCGUACGGGCCAUGUCACCCGAGGCCAUGUGCCUCGGCCAGAAAAGAAACAAAAAAGUGCUUUCGGAAAGGUCAGUCGCCAAUUCUUUCGGGCUUAAGAGGAUGCAGUCCGGCGAGGUAACCUUCCAGGAGACACAGGCGCAGCAAAAAGUCUUGGCCAAACUCGAAAUGGACGGCGUCACCGCCGAGAAAUCAGUCAACAAACUUCAGGAACAGCGAUCGAUCAAAUCCGGAGAAGUCACCCAGCGUGAGUCCCAGAGCAGGAGCGCAGCCACGCUGAGACUUCAGAGUGGCACUUUCACAACAGAAAAGAAUAUGAUGGCUGCUCAACAGCAAAGCCAAACGAUAACUUCGACUGGUUUGGUAAACCAGGAAAAGCAUACGAGCCAUCAAAAUUACAUAUUUACCAAAGGGAUGAGCUCCAAAACUUCAGUGAUAUCUUCACAAAUGGUGAACAGUAGUCACCUUUUAAACGGUCAGAGCAAUUUGAAGAUGAUAGAAGAAGACCCUUUUCCUAUUUGCUUGGACGAGCUGGAGAAGCUGAGUUCCAAUUCGACGACGCAAGAAGUCGAAAACGCCAAAGCCAAAUACAGCGACCAGUUGUACGCGGCUGUGAAAACUGUUAAAAGCCUGAAAGGGGAAAACUGCAAAAAGAUCCCACUCGUGCUGAACAGGAUCAACGAGAUGAUCAGAAAGGCCUGGGAGGUGCCGACUCACGGGCACGACAUCGGUUCCACCCUCUGUAACUCGCUGCGGGCCAGCGGCGGCCUCGACUUCCUCCUCACCAACAACACAGACGACGAACAACAGUUCGCGAGUGCCAAACUGCUCGAGCAGUGCCUCACCUCGGAAAACAGGGACUAUGUCGUGUCCAACGGUCUCGAGAUGGUCGUCACCUCCGCCUGCGUCUGCACCAAAAAUUCCAAUUCCAUCGAACAUUCCCGGGUGGGGACCGGCAUCCUAGAACACCUUUUCAAGCACAGCGAAGGAACGUGCAGCGACGUUAUCAGACUCGGCGGUCUUGACUCGGUCCUCUUCGAAUGCAGGAAAAACGACGUCGAAACCCUCAGGCACUGCGCUGGUGCUCUGGCCAAUCUGUCUUUAUACGGUGGAGCAGAAAACCACGAGGCCAUGAUCAAGCGCAAGGUCCCGAUGUGGCUUUUCCCUCUCGCCUUCCACACAGACGACAACAUCAAAUAUUACGCGUGUUUAGCGAUAGUUGCCCUCGUCGCCAAUAAAGAAAUCGAAGCUGCCGUCCUCAAGUCGGGCACUUUAGACCUCGUAGAACCCUUCAUCACAACUCACAAUCCUUCGGAAUUCGCCAAAUCGAAUCAGGCUCACGCCCACGGACAGAGCAAGCACUGGCUCCAGCGGUUGGUGCCUGUGCUCAGCUCAAAGAGAGAAGAGGCGAGGAACCUGGCUGCCUUCCACUUUUGUAUGGAAGCGUGGAUUAAGAAACAACAAGGGAACACGGAACUCUUCAAGAACAUCGGUGCGAUCGAACCGCUGAAGAAGGUUGCCAGUUGCCCCAAUGCCAUCGCGUCCAAGUUCGCCGCACAAGCGCUCAGGCUCAUAGGAGAAGAGAUACCCCAUAAACUAAGCCAGCAAGUCCCUCUCUGGAGCACGGAAGACGUACGGGAAUGGGUCAAACAGAUAGGAUUUGCGGAGUACGCGUUAAACUUCACAGACAGUCGGGUCGACGGUGACCUUCUCCUCCAACUCACGGAAGACAAUCUCAUGUCAGACAUCGGAAUCACAAAUGGAAUCAGAAGAAAAAGGUUCACACGCGAGCUGCAGACUCUGAAGAAAAUGGCCGACUACAGCAGUCGGGAUUCUUCCAACCUCAACUCGUUCCUCCAGUCCAUUGGGCCAGAAUUUUCCGUCUAUACAUAUGCCAUGCUUAACGCUGGCGUUGACAAAGAGACUUUAAGGAGUUUGUCAGAAGAACAGCUAGUCAGUGAAUGUGGCAUAACUAACAGUAUUCACAGAUACCGAAUGCUUGAUUUGAUACGAGUUUACUUAAGGUCCAUCUCCAACUCAGGGGCUUCUCGGUUUUCAUCGACGUCGAGAGGCUUGAAGCAGGAAAAUUUGACAACAACUUGCUCCACAGCAUUCGCCAAGCGAAACAUUUUAUCUUAGUUUUAACCUCCAGUGCGCUAGAUAGGUGCAUAGCGGAUGACGACUGCAAAGACUGGGUGCAUCGGGAAAUCGUAGCAGCACUACAAGCACAAUGCAACAUAAUCCCAAUUAUGGAUAAUUUCUCCUGGCCUGAUCCUGAAAAGCUCCCUGACGAUAUGAGAGCUGUCUGUCAUUUCAAUGGUGUAAUGUGGAUCCACGACUACCAGGACGCUUGUGUGGACAAGCUCGAAAGGUUUAUGAGGGGCGACCCGAUUUCAAGGUCGAUCACAGGGACGAGUCGGACAGGCGACAUGACACCAGGCACACCAUCCAUCAGUCACAAGCCGCCCUUCAACCGCAACCACUCAAACAUGAGUGCGGACGGUUCCGAGGGGAGUCGGGAAUGACUAGAAGGGCACGCC
rnacentral:misc_RNA from 1 species